UAGUUAGUAGGUGUGGUAAUGGCGCACCUAGGCAUCGAUCUAUAGCCGAGUUGAGAGGCUAAUCGGCCACAUUGGAACUGAGACACGGUCCAGACUCCUACGGGAGGCAGCAGCUAAGAAUCUUCCGCAAUGGUUGAGAGACUGACGGAGCGACGCCGCGUGAAUGAUGAAGGCCUUUUAGGUUGUAAAAUUCUUUUAUAAUAGAUGAAAGUAUAGAUAUAGUUUAUGCUGACCGUAUAUUAUGAAUAAGGUCCGGCUAACUACGUGCCAGCAGCCGCGGUAAAACGUAGGGACCUAGCGUUGUUCGGAAUUACUGGGCGUAAAGGGUAUGCAGGCUGUUAUAUAAGUCAGAUGUGAAAGACCCGGGCUCAACCUUGGAAUUGCGUCUGAUACUGUAUAACUUGGGUAGCUGAGAGGAAGUCGGAAUUCCUGGUGUAGGGGUGAAAUCUAUAGAUAUCAGGAAGAACACCAGUAGCGUAGGCGGACUUCUGGCAGCUUACCGACGCUGAGGUACGAAAGGUAGGGUAGCAAACCAGGAUUAGAGACCCUGGUAGUCCUACCUGUAAACGUUGUAUACUAGGUGGUGGAAGUUUAAUA
rnacentral:rRNA from 1 species